GCCAGGGUAGCUCAGUUGGUUAGAGCGUGGGACUCAUAAGCCCGAGGUCGUGGGUUCAACUCCCACCCCUGGUA
rnacentral:tRNA from 1 species